rnacentral:rRNA from 1 species
GUGCUAAGGUAGCAUAAUCAUUUGUUUUUUAAUUGAAAACUGGUAUGAACGGUUCUACAAUAUAAAUCUUUUUUUUCUUAAAAUUUUAAUUUAUAGUUUUAGUAAAAAUACUGAAAUGAAUAAAAGGGACGAUAAGACCCUGAAAGCUUAAAGUAGUUGUCAUUGGGAUAUUUAUUUUAGUUUGUGAGGAAUACUAUUAGCUGGGGAAGUUUUUGUAUUAAAACUACAAUUUAUUUAAACUUUGUUUUUAGGGUCCUUUAGAUAAGGAAAAUUAGGAAAAGUUACUUCAGGGAUAACAGCAUAAUAAUUUUGUAGAGUUCUUAUCGAUAAAAUUGACUGUGACCUCGAUGUUGAAUUAAAAUUUCUUGCUAAGGUAAAAUGUAGUUUAGAAGGUUUGUUCAACCUUUAAUUUUUUACAUGAUCUGAGUUCAAACCGG